rnacentral:lncRNA from 1 species
AUUAGACCCAGCCGUGCUCCAGGCCCUCGGAGCCCCGCUCCGGCUGCAGCGGCGGGGAUGGGGAAGGGGACUCCGGGGGCCAGGUGAGUCUGGGGCACCGCCCGGGGCAGGUGCGCGGGGCAGGCCUGGGGCACCGAGUAGCCUCUCCGCAGCCGCCGGGCCUCGGAGAUCGGCGCAACCCAGCGGCGCCGCUGCGCGCUCUGCCCGCCGCCCCGGGCGCAGCCUCCUCCGGGCUGUACUGUCCCGCGGUGCCCAGAGCCCAACUUCCCGCUCGCUUCUGCUCGCUCUUCCUUUCUCCCUCCUGUCUCCUGCGUCUCGGCUUUCUUAGGAGGUGGAGAGUAGUCAGCGAGGAGGCAGCGGUGCCGCUUAGUCCUUGACCGAGUGUUCGUAUCCGCUGCCGCGAGGCCCCUCCGGACUGGAGAGCGGCAUGGGCGGCGGCGGCCGCGGAGCCAUGGAGCGGGAGCGGAGCCGAGGGGAGCUGGGGCGGAGGCGGCUGGGGUCGGGCCCGGGCGCGCUCUCCUGCCCUCCCUGGCGGUUCCCUUUGCCUGGAGACGCGGCGCCCGGAGCCCGCGAUCUGUCGCGAGCCGCAGCAGCUCCGCGGUCCACGUGCGACCGAGCCGCGUUUGUUUAUGGCGGACCCGCCUUCGGGCGGAGCACUCGGCGGCCUCGGCCCGGGGAGGAGGGGCGGGAGGGGGGAGGGACCGCGGCGGGGGCGGGGGCGGCGAAUCUCGCCUCCCGACCCCGCCGCGGCCCCGGAGUUACAGGCGCGCCUCCGCGUCGCGGCCUCCAGGGACUCUCCCAGGAGAGGCCCGCGCGCUCCCGGCCUCACGGAAGUCUCGGACCUGUAUCUGGAAGGACAUCUUUCUCGAGUUGUCGAUGCCUCGUCUGCUUGUGA